rnacentral:rRNA from 1 species
AUUGAACGCUGGCGGCAGGCCUAACACAUGCAAGUCGAGCGAAUAAAGGAGGCUUUUUCCUGGCUUACGCGGGGGACGGGCGGGUAAUUCCUACGAAGCUGCCCGGUCUAUAGGAAUAACAUCCGGACAGGAGCCCUAAGCCCACAUCGGACAUUAUGUUGAACCGGGGGGUUCUUCGGUCAACGCCCUAUCAGCUGAGCCUAGGACGGAUUAGCUAGUUGGUGGGGUAACGGCCUACCAAGGCGACGAUCCGUAACUGGUCUGAGAGGAUGAUCAGCCACACUGGAACUGAGACACGGUCCAGACUCCUACGGGAGGCAGCAGUGGGGAAUAUUGCGCAAUGGGCGAAAGCCUGACCCAGCAAUGCCGCGUGUGUGAAGAAGGUCUUCGGAUCGUAAAGCACUUUAAGUAGGGAAGAAGGAAAGUAAGUGUAUCUCUGGCUGUCUUGACGUUACCAACAGAGAAAGCACCGGCUAACUUCGUG